rfam:Oryza barthii chromosome 3, whole genome shotgun sequence.
AAUAAGUGCAUUUGUGUACUAACCGUUUGUCUUAUUUGAAAUUUUUUAUUAGUAUUUUUAUUGCUAUUAGAUGAUAAAACAUGAAUAGUACUUUAUGUGUGACUAAAUAUUUUUAAAUUUUUCACAAAUUUUUUAAAUAAGACGAACGGUCAAACGUUGGGCACGGAUGUCCACAGCUACACUUAUU